AUGAGUCAGCUUUCGGGGGCCCAUCACCCCCUCCCACUGUGGAACUUCAGGUCCAGAUCCCUGUGCGGGGGAGGGUGGGGAGCCUUUGUCACUGGGCCCUGGGCUCAGAGCUGGGCAGGGGACAGAGGCUGUCCUCUGUACCCCAAAUCAGGAGUUCCCAGGACUAGUGUCUGCUUUACUACGCCAACCCAGCCGCGGGCUCUGUCCCCACAGGCUUUCUGCACACUGUCACCUGGCAGGAGCCCUCUUUUGUGCCCCUUGCUGGGCUUCCGGGCUAUAAAUGAGCGGGACGGGUAUUUAAAUUUCAGAUACGGAGGCAGCAUUGCACAGGGGACUUUACCACCGGGAUUGGGAGAUUCAUCAGGCUGGUACCUCGCUCUACCUGGCGUUCCCACCAUCUCAGACCCCAUUGCCCACGAGCCACAAGUGGUCCUACUGGGCCGCCUCCAGGGGACGCCCAGGCCCUCCCCCACUGAGCUGGGUGGGGAUGAGGGGACACAAGUACUCUCAGCUCCAAGAAUGUGCAGCGUCAGGGGACCCUGGUGGCCUGCGUUGUGCCGCGCUGCCCGCCCACUGUGCACUCCAGGUGGCUCUCCAGGCCAAGGGGCCCCCAGGGAGGCUGCUUCGCACACGGCUCCGGGUUCCCUGUGGUCCUCCAGGCCCCCUCCAGGUGCACCCCCGCAGCUCCCUCUCUACCGGUCCCCGCGCGGUCACCCCUCCCUCAGAGCGUUUUUACCGACAGCUUCGGAGGCUGGUCCGCCCCUGGAACAGUAACAGCAAGAGCCAGAGCCCCGGGGCCAAGCCCCACACCUGCAUUAGUGCUCACAGUAAGCCGAGGAGGGGCUCUCAGCACUCCUGGUUUGCAAGUGAAGAAAUGCAGAGGGAGAGGUUGAGGCGCACACCCUCCCCCCAUUCCCACCCCAAGCACUGGGCUCAGGGCUCACCCCUCUGCUUUGCCACAGGCCUUUUGUAGGCAGGGCUGCGGCUGCUUCUAACUGCCCCUCCACCCCCNNNNNNNNNNNNNNCACCCCCCCACCCCGGGCUCCUUGCAACCAAGUUGGGCCCCUCCUCGGCACGCCCAGCCUCUUGACUCCCAGAAUCACACCUUCCCUUUUGCUAGAGAGACAGGCAGAGGGUGAGGGCCAGUUUCCCUGGGGAACUGCAGUUAGGUCCCUAACUGGUGCUGUCACGUUUGGGGGCGGGGGGUGUCUAGUCAGACCUCACUCACCCCACUGCUGACCCAGCAGGUGAUCCGGGCAAGUCCGUUUUCCUUGUGCUUUACUCUCUGACUCUUGAUCUCAGAGUUGUGAGUUCGAGCCCCAUGCUGGGUAUAGAGAUUAUUUAUUUUUUAUUUUUUAUUUUUUUUAGAGAUUACUUUAAAAAACAAAAUCUUGAAGGAUGCGUGGGUGGUUCAGCGGUUGAGCAUCUGCCUUCAUCUCAGGUCAUGAUCCCAAAAUCCGGGGAUCCAGUCCCACAUCGGGCUCCCCAGGGAAUCUGCUUCUUCCUCUGCCUGUGCCUCUGACUCUCUAUGUCUCUCAUGAGUAAAUAAAUAAAAUAUUUUUAAAAAUAAAGUCUUGAAA
rnacentral:lncRNA from 1 species